UGGAACUGAAGCAGGAGCAUCAUUAACAACGAGCUCAAUUUGGCAGAUGCAUCAAUAGUUGUGGGCUCAACUUGGGCAGGUGCAUCAACUGUUGCGGGCUCAACUUGGCUUGCAGCAACAUGCUCGAUUGGGCUUGAAAGAGUUGCGAUACCAGAAUAAGCUUCAACGUUCAUGGAAGCUUCAGCUACGGGAGAAGGAAAGUCUUUAGCCAAUUUGGAUUCCAAGUUAAAGUUUUCUUGGCUAGUUUCGAUUAAGGUAUCACGGCGUGAAUUCAAAAAUGGCCAACUCACCUCAAUAGCAG
rnacentral:lncRNA from 1 species